AGCUAAAGUAGCAAAGAAGUUAAUGCAGAAAACCUAAGAUUUUCUUAACAAAGGUUCAAUUCCUUUUUUUAGCUA
rnacentral:tRNA from 1 species